GACGAACGCUGGCGGCGUGCUUAACACAUGCAAGUCGAACGGAAAGGCCCUGCUUUUGUGGGGUGAUCGAGUGGCGAACGGGUGAGUAACACGUGAGUAACCUGCUCUUGACUUUGGGAUAACUUCAGGAAACUGGGGUUAAUACCGGAUAGGAGCUCCUGCUGCAUGGAGGGGGUUGGAAAGUCUCGGCGGUUGGGGAUGGACUCGCGGCUUAUCGGCUUGUUGGUGGGGUAGUGGCUUACCAAGGCUGUGACGGGUAGCCGGCAUGAGAGGGUGGACGGCCACAUUGGGACUGAGGUACGGCCCAGAGUCGUACGGGAGGCAGCAGUGGGGAAUAUUGCACAAUGGGCGGAAGCCUGAUGCAGCAACGCCGCGUGCGGGAUGACGGCCUUCGGGUUGUAAACCGCUUUCGCCUGUGACGAAGCGUGAGUGACGGUAAUGGGUAAAGAAGCACCGGCUAACUACGUG
rnacentral:rRNA from 1 species